rnacentral:rRNA from 1 species
AGGGCGCAUGGUGGAUGCCUAGGCUCACGGAGGCGACGAAGGGCGUGGUAAGCUGCGAAAAGCCGCGGGUAGGCGCAAACGGCCUGCGAUCCGCGGAUACCCGAAUGGGACAACCCGGCACCUUUGAGGGUGUCAUCACGCCUGUGGCGUGAGGCUAACGCGGGGAACUGAAACAUCUUAGUACCCGCAGGAAGAGAAAACAACAGUGAUUCCCCCAGUAGUGGCGAGCGAACGGGGAGGAGCCCAAACCGGGGCGGUCCAGGCCGCCCCGGGGUAGUAGGGCCGCGUGGUUGUACCUUGGGGCGCGAGCGGAACGGUCUGGAAAGUCCGGCCAUAGAGGGUGACAGCCCCUUACGCGAAGCGCCUCGGGACAUAGCGGAACCCUGAGUAGCGCGGGACACGUGAAAUCCUGCGCGAAUCCGCCGGGACCAUCCGGCAAGGCUAAAUACUCCCGUGAGACCGAUAGUGUACGAGUACCGUGAGGGAAAGGUGAAAAGCACUCCGAGCAGGAGGGUGAAAGAGACCCUGAAACCAUGCGCCUACAAGCGGUCGGAGCAUACGUUUGUAUGUGACGGCGUGCCUUUUGCAUAAUGAGCCUGCGAGUUGCCGCCGCCGGCGAGGUAUGGUGGCUAAGCCACCGCGCCGCAGUGAAAGCGAGCCUGAAGAGGGCGUCGAGUCGGCGUAGGCAGACGCGAAACCGAGUGAUCUACACAUGUCCAGGGUGAAGUGCCGGUAACACGGCAUGGAGGCCCGAACCGAUAAGCGUUGAAAAGCUUCCGGACGAGGCGUGUGUAGGAGUGAAAGGCCAAUCAAACUCGGAGAUAGCUCGUACUCCCCGAAAUGCAUUUAGGUGCAGCGUGCGGCGUUCCGCAAGAGAGGUAGAGCGACCGAUAGGACGCGAGGGCUUCGCCGCCUAUCAAGUCCUGACGAACUCCGAAUGCUCUUGCGCCGCAGCCGCGCAGUAAGGGGGCGGGUGCUAAGGUCCGUCCCCGAGAGGAGAAGAAUCCGGACCGCCGCCUAAGGUCCCGGAAUCCUGCCUGAGUCAGUCUAACGAAGUGUGACUCCUGAGACAGCCAGGAUGUUGGCUUGGAAGCAGCCAUUCAUUCAAAGAGUGCGUAACAGCUCACUGGUCGAGGGGUCGCGCGUGGAUAAUAAUCGGGUGUAAGGCAGGUACCGAAGGCGCGGGGUAGUAUAUUGAUUUAUAGUACCGGUAGGGGAGCAUUCCAUGCGCGUCGAAUGUAGGGGGCGACCCCUGCUGGAGCGCAUGGAAAAGCAAAUGCAGGCAUAAGUAACGACAAGGGGGGUGGGAUUCCCCCCCGCCGAAAGGCCGAGGUUUCCCGGGCAACGCCAAUCGACCCGGGGUCAGUCGGGCCCUAAGCCUAAGCCGAACGGCGAUGGCGAUGGCAUGACGGUCAACAUUCCGUCACUGCCGCACGGGGCGAUGCGGUGAAGGAGAAGUGAAAGCGCCGCGGGGCGACGGAAGUCCCCGUUGAAGGGCGUAGGCGUAGAGGGGCGUAGUGAAGUACGCGCCCCGAGCCGAACCUGACAGUACCGGCCUCCCUCCGGGGAAGCUGGACAGCGCGCGUAACCAUGCUCCCGAGAAAACCCGCUAAGCUCAACCCGUGCGGCACCCGUACCGCAAACGGACACACGUGGCCGCGUAGAGCAUACUGAGGCGUUGGAAGAUUCACGGUUAAGGAACUAGGCAAACUGGCCCCGUAACUUCGGGAUAAGGGGUCCUCCCUGUUCAGGGGAGGCGCAGAGAAUAGGCCCAGGCAACUGUUUACCAAAAACACAGGGCUGUGCGAAUUCGAAAGAAGCUGUAUACAGCCUGACACCUGCCCGGUGCCGGAAGGUUAAGAGGAGGCGUCACCGCAAGGGAAGCGCCGAAUUGAAGCCCCGGUAAACGGCGGCCGUAACUAUAACGGUCCUAAGGUAGCGAAAUUCCUUGUCGGGUAAGUUCCGACCUGCACGAAUGGUGUAAUGAUCCGGACGCUGUCUCAACCGUGAGCCCAGUGAAAUUGUAGUAUCGGUGAAGAUGCCGAUUACCCGCGAUGGGACGAAAAGACCCCGUGAACCUUUACUGCAGCUUAGCGCUGGCGUUGGUCGUCCGAUGUGUAGGAUAGGCCGGAGGCUUUGAAGUGGGCGCGCCAGCGUCCAUGGAGCCGUCGUUGAAAUACGGCCCUUUGGCCGUCCGGCGCCUAACGCGCGUAUAGUGCGGACACCGCUUGGCGGGCAGUUUGACUGGGGUGGUCGCCUCCAAAAGCGUAACGGAGGCUUCCAAAGGUGCCCUCGGGCCGAUUGGCAACCGGCCUCAUUGAGUGCAAUGGCAUAAGGGCGCUUGACUGGGAGGCAGACAUGCCGAGCAGGCAGGAAACUGGGGCAUAGUGAUCCGGCGGACGUGCAUGGAAACUCCGUCGCUCAAAGGAUAAAAGGUACUCCGGGGAUAACAGGCUGAUCCCCCCCAAGAGCUCACAUCGACGGGGUGGUUUGGCACCUCGAUGUCGGCUCGUCACAUCCUGGGGCUGGAGAAGGUCCCA